rnacentral:rRNA from 1 species
CGCGUAGGCGGCUUUUCAAGCGUGCGGUGAAAGCUCGGGCUUAACUCCGAGUCUGCCGUGCGAACUGGGAGGCUUGAGUCUGGUAGAGGUCGAUGGAAUUCCGGGUGUAGCGGUGGAAUGCGUAGAGAUCCGGAAGAACACCGGUGGCGAAGGCGGUCGACUGGGCCAGUACUGACGCUGAGGCGCGACAGGCGUGGGAGCAAACA